GGCAGAGGAUUAGGGCCAGUUUGGGUCGCUAGUGUAGGGAAUUACUUGGUGGGGGUUUUAUUCCUGUUAUGAUUCCGUCUUCCGUGUUCCAUGUUUUAUUACGAAUCUGUGUGCUUUCCUUUGCUUUCCUCUGUUUUAUAUUACUUAUGGGUGCUGUAUUUAUGUUAUGUAAUCUGCUUCUGUGCUGUACUAUGUGUUUGUGUGGUAUCUCGUGUCUUGAGCCGGGGGUCUAUCGGAAACAGCCUUUCUACUUCAUCAGAGGUAGAGGUAUGGACUGCGUACAUCUUACCCCCCCCAGACCCCACUAGGUGGGAAUACACUGGGUUUGU
rnacentral:lncRNA from 1 species